UCAGGCCUAACACAUGCAAGUCGAACGGUAACAGGAAGAAGCUUGCUUCUUUUGCUGACGAGUGGCGGACGGGUGAGUAAUGUCUGGGAAACUGCCUGAUGGAGGGGGAUAACUACUGGAAACGGUAGCUAAUACCGCAUAACGUCGCAAGACCAAAGAGGGGGACCUUCGGGCCUCUUGCCAUCGGAUGUGCCCAGAUGGGAUUAGCUAGUAGGUGGGGUAACGGCUCACCUAGGCGACGAUCCCUAGCUGGUCUGAGAGGAUGACCAGCCACACUGGAACUGAGACACGGUCCAGACUCCUACGGGAGGCAGCAGUGGGGAAUAUUGCACAAUGGGCGCAAGCCUGAUGCAGCCAUGCCGCGUGUAUGAAGAAGGCCUUCGGGUUG
rnacentral:rRNA from 1 species